rnacentral:hammerhead_ribozyme from 1 species
GCACUGAUGAAGAGUCAAAUAAUAGGAUGAAACGGCCGUCCAGUGC